rnacentral:piRNA from 1 species
GUGAUGAAGGUUGAUAAGUGCUUG